AUUUGACACGUGUCCAUAAACAUAACUAUGGUUACAUAAAUCAAAAUAAAAUGUUAACCAUAGUUAUGUCUAUGGACACGUGUCCAAUAUU
rnacentral:miRNA from 1 species